CGUUCCCGGGUCUUGUACACACCGCCCGUCACACCACGAGAGUUUGUAACACCCGAAGUCGGUGGGGUAACCGUAAGGAGCCAGCCGCCUAAGGUGGGACAGAUGAUUGGGGUGAAGUCGUAACAAGGUACCC
rnacentral:rRNA from 1 species